GACGAACGCUGGCGGCGUGCUUAACACAUGCAAGUCGAGCGGAGCGGCGAACGGGUGAGUAAAGCGGGAGUAACUGCCCCCCUCUCUGGGAUAACAGUUGGAAACGGCUCCCAAUACCGGAUAGUGGGGGAUGACUCGCGUCAAAUCAGCUUGUUGGUGGGGUAGUGGCCGACCAAGGCGACGAUGGGUAGCAGGCCUGAGAUGGCGACCGGCCACAUUGGGCUAAGAGACGGCCCAAACUCCUACGGGGGGCAGCAGUGGGGAGUAUUGCACAAUGGGGGAAACCGUGAUGCAGCAACGCCGCGUGCGGGAUGACGUCCUUCGGGUUGUAAACCGCUUUCAGCCAUGACGCGGUAGUGGCAGAAGAAGCACCGGCUAACUACGUGCCAGCAGCCGCGGUAAUAC
rnacentral:rRNA from 1 species